ACGAUGAUGCCCAGCUUGCUGGGCGGAUUAGUGGCGAACGGGUGAGUAAUACGUGAGUAACCUGCCCUUGACUCUGGGAUAAGCCUGGGAAACUGGGUCUAAUACUGGAUACUACCUCUUACCGCAUGGUGGGUGGUGGAAAGGGUUUUACUGGUUUUGGAUGGGCUCACGGCCUAUCAGCUUGUUGGUGGGGUAAUGGCUCACCAAGGCGACGACGGGUAGCCGGCCUGAGAGGGUGACCGGCCACACUGGGACUGAGACACGGCCCAGACUCCUACGGGAGGCAGCAGUGGGGAAUAUUGCACAAUGGGCGGAAGCCUGAUGCAGCGACGCCGCGUGAGGGAUGACGGCCUUCGGGUUGUAAACCUCUUUCAGUAGGGAAGAAGCGAGAGUGACGGUACCUGCAGAAGAAGCGCCGGCUAACUACGUGCCAGCAGCCGCGGUAAUACGUAGGGCGCAAGCGUUGUCCGGAAUUAUUGGGCGUAAAGAGCUCGUAGGCGGUUUGUCGCGUCUGCUGUGAAAGCCCGGGGCUCAACCCCGGGUCUGCAGUGGGUACGGGCAGACUAGAGUGCAGUAGGGGAGACUGGAAUUCCUGGUGUAGCGGUGAAAUGCGCAGAUAUCAGGAGGAACACCGAUGGCGAAGGCAGGUCUCUGGGCUGUUACUGACGCUGAGGAGCGAAAGCAUGGGGAGCGAACAGGAUUAGAUACCCUGGUAGUCCAUGCCGUAAACGUUGGGCACUAGGUGUGGGGGACAUUCCACGUUUUCCGCGCCGUAGCUAACGCAUUAAGUGCCCCGCCUGGGGAGUACGGCCGCAAGGCUAAAACUCAAAGGAAUUGACGGGGGCCCGCACAAGCGGCGGAGCAUGCGGAUUAAUUCGAUGCAACGCGAAGAACCUUACCAAGGCUUGACAUUCACCGGACCGCCCCAGAGAUGGGGUUUCCCUUCGGGGCUGGUGGACAGGUGGUGCAUGGUUGUCGUCAGCUCGUGUCGUGAGAUGUUGGGUUAAGUCCCGCAACGAGCGCAACCCUCGUUCUAUGUUGCCAGCACGUGAUGGUGGGGACUCAUAGGAGACUGCCGGGGUCAACUCGGAGGAAGGUGGGGAUGACGUCAAAUCAUCAUGCCCCUUAUGUCUUGGGCUUCACGCAUGCUACAAUGGCCGGUACAAAGGGUUGCGAUACUGUGAGGUGGAGCUAAUCCCAAAAAGCCGGUCUCAGUUCGGAUUGAGGUCUGCAACUCGACCUCAUGAAGUCGGAGUCGCUAGUAAUCGCAGAUCAGCAACGCUGCGGUGAAUACGUUCCCGGGCCUUGUACACACCGCCCGUCAAGUCACGAAAGUUGGUAACACCCGAAGCCGGUGGCCUAACCCCUUG
rnacentral:rRNA from 1 species